ensembl:lncRNA
CUCGGGAGAGAGGUUCAUGGACAGUGGACCUCUGCGCUCGGUUGGUGCUGAAAAUAUGUAUCGGCUUCGGGCACCUCCGUACAAUCUACCUGCCGAUAUCGUUCGUGUCUUGGAUUAAAAAACGCCUAGCCGUUUUCUCAGCACAUGCACCGAAGGCCUCGACCAGUGAAAACGAACAACUUCAGAUACUUAUCUUUUAGGCGUACACUGCCGUAAUGGAAAGGGACAAUGUAGCUAUCUAGCCAAAUUGCUAACACUGAGAGGACCCAGCACCAAAACUUCGUAUGGAGAUUAAAACGGUUAUCAAUCUAAUCUAUCAACGGAGGACAUUCACGCGAUUUGGGAUUUAUUCACUCACGGAGCCGGUGUGACUCCAUAUAGCUAACGUUACAGAAGGAGCUGAAGCUAUUCAAGAGUAUUGGGACACAUCCGAUCCCCACCUCCAUUCUGAUGAAUGGGGACUGAAUGAUACACUCAGGGAGAGAACAGUGGUACUCCUGUGCCGCUGGCAGCGGAUUCCAGGCUCCGUGGAGCGACGACUCACUCUGGGCUGCAGACCUCUGCCACCCCAUCGAUCUGCCACCCCAUCGAUACGCACACAGUCCAUUUGGAUGCAAAUGUAUGCACUUCUCCUCAGCUGCCCCCCACUGGUCCAGGAUAAGUUGUUAGUGGUGGUGUUUAAUGUAUUACGGUAACCAGGUUUCCGUACAACCUUUUUAUGUAAGGUAAAGUCCAUGUUGGAUGAAACAUGUCUCCACAGGCCUGACGGGAACAGCCAAAUUUGUCGGUAAAACUUGUCAAAUGCCGGCAAAAAAACAAAAUACGCAAGGCGAGGUGGGAUCUUUGUGUGUCUGUAAAAUGAAUUGUGUAAGAAAUGGAGGUGGAAAUGCCUGUUUGCAGAAAUACUGAUAUAAUAACCAUCAUAUCGGAAGUUACCUUGGAGCCACGUGGUGAUAUUUUGUAAGAUCCUCCCAAUGGGACUCUGGGAAGAAUGCCGUUUAUUAGGUUACAGAUGAAAUAAAUGGUGAACUUUACAGGGUGACGUACGUGAUGAGCUUGGUGCUCCUUUCCAAACGAACAUUUAGAUUUUUUUGCUGUCUUAUUCUGCUGACAUAAUUGAUGCUUGACUGCGGUUGGACAAAUAUAAAUAAUCCGCUAUUUUGUCUAUAAUAAUCUCACCGUGUAGGCUGGACUAUACCGGCACUGUAUCUGCUAGCUAUUGGCUAGAGCGCAUGUAUCAAGACCAGAGGAGGGACAUUGGCUAUAUAGCGCAAUUUAUUUUGUCACAAAACCACCAGUGAAGUUGGAAAUGUGAUUGGAAACCCAUUUAACUUGUACUUUUUAUUCGGUACAUGGGAUUUUAAAAGUGAUUUUUAUGUGCACUACGGUUGGUGGGGAAAUGCGCAUAUUGUUUUUAUGCCUAUUUUUAUAUUCUCAUGGAAAUCUGUUGCCAAUUGGAUGAAAACCUAGCUAGUAAAGAGAGGAGCCUGUGCCAACAGUCGUGGCCGUCUGUGCGCUUCUGCGGCCGAUGAGGGAAGGAGGAAACAGUCAUUGUGUUCAUGAGUGGACUCAACUGCCUUGUUUAUUGGGUCUGUGUGUAUUGUAUCCCACAGUAUACACUCACUUUCCACCUAACCUCAGUGUUUUGUUUGUCAUCGGUUCACUUUUGUCUCAAGGCCCCCUUUCCACAGCAUCCGGGGCAGCUUUGGUCAGACAUCUCCAUGGAAACCAAUUGAAGCCAAGUUCUUUUGGUCAGGGUGGGGGUAUCUCACUCACACCUAAGAAGUGAUUAGGGAACGAAAACCUUUCUGAGUGUGUUGUCGUAGAUGCAGGGUGGUCUCAGCGUAAAAAAUUACGUUUAAAAAAUAUAUAUAUAUUUUUUUAUUUUGCGAACAGGUGAGACGAGAUGGCCGGGUAUUUGUGCCUUUUUGUGCGGUAACGUGGACUCUUAACAAGGCGAUGAAGCUUUGUUGCUCCAAGCAAAUGAGGACGUGUAGAAAGGUGCAGCAACACACAGAAAUAUAACCUAUGACAGCGCAUGCAGUAAGGAGGAGAGGGAAAGAUGUGCGUCAAAAAUAAUAUACGUUUGAAUUGUAUUGUUAUUUGCUAUUGUAAUGGUUAAUAUGGAGGCUGUGGUCAUUUGGCUGGCCAAUUACCAUCAUCCAAAAUUCCAUCGUGUCACAGCCCUACUCAGAUCAUAAGUAUAUUUUAUUGCAAGAAGGAGCUGUAACGACUUUGGUUUGUCAGUUGUGUAUAUUGUUUCAAGCACCAGAUGUAGUGUGACAGUCAAGGGGUGUUUUCUGAACGAAUUAAUGAAUGUACUUCAUUAUUCCCCAUGGAAUUUGAAUGAUGGCUGAACAUGUAGAGGCAGAGAGAUAGGGAGUUCAAUGUCCCUGAGCAAUGAGGGCAUGUAGCCUAGAGACAGACGCACAGCUGUUGUGCACACACGUACACAUUUCCCAAAGAAUGAUGGCUGAAAACGUAGAGACCGAGAGAUGGGGAGUUCAAAGCCUCUGAGCAAUGAGGGCAUGUAGCCUAGAGACAGACGCACAGCUGUUGUGCACACACAUACACAUUUACACUGUUGCGUCCUAUUACAUUGUUCCCCGCUGAGUGUGAUGAUGUAGGUGAGCACGCCCUACAAGGAAGGCAUCAGCUUGUUUUACCCAGCAGCCACCUGAAAAGAAGAGGAAGUGAUGUUGAUCAUGAGCUAAUCCUUGUGGAAUCUGACUGUGUCAGAAUAGGCUAGCUCUCUGUUUCAGUCUCUCCCUCUCAGGUAUCGUCUGUGUCAGUCUUCAAAGCAUCUCUUCUCCUCCUCAAAACGCAUUGGCGGAGAAGGCCUGAGGGGAGGUACCUUGGACCUUCUCCCCUCCAAUGUGAUUUGAGAAAGGUGAGGAAAGACGAAUUGAGAAAAAUUCCCAGAUGAAGCAGCUAGUUUGUUGGUUGAGUCAGUGGGAGGUCCUCCACAGCUAGGUCAAUGGUCCAGAAGUCAAGACUUCUCCUGGACAGUGGACACCAGAGAGAGAGAGAGAGAGACACUCGAGACUUGAACACAGGCCCGUUUAGGAGAAUACUUGUAAAAUGCAUCCUUGAUUCCUUGAAGUUUGAUGACAGGUUUAACACGAUUACGGUAGAAAAGCAUAAGUGAAGAUCGAUAGGUGUACGCCAAGGUUCUAUUACAUUACUUUCACAAUGUAAGUUUUGUAGUAGAUCCAGACUACAAAUAUACAGUGGCAAGAAAGUAUGUGAACCCUUUGGAAUGACCUGGAUUUCUGCUUAAAUUGGUCAUACAAUCUGAUCUGAGGUCACAACGGUAGACAAGCACAGUCUGUUUAAACUAAUAACACCCACACAAUUAAGUUGUCAUGUCUUUAUUGAACACACUGUGUAAAUAUGCACAGUGCAGGGUGGGGAAAGUAUGUGAACCCUUGGAUUUAAUAACUCGUUGGCCCUCCUUUGGAAGCAAUAACCUCAACCAAAUGUUUUCUGUAGUUGCGGAUCAGUCCUGCACAACGGUCUGGAGGAAUUUUGGACCAUUCCACUUUACAAAACUGUUUCAGUUCAGCAAUAUUCUUGUGAUGUCUGGUGUGGACCGUUCUCUUAAGGUCAUGCCACUGCAUCUCAAUCGGGUUCAGGUCAGGACUCUGACUGGGCCACUCCAGAAGGCAUAUUUUCUUCUAUUGAAGCCAUUCUGUUGUAGAUAUACUAUUGUGUGGGUCGUUGUCCUGUUGCAUCACCCAACUUCUGUUGAGCUUCAAUUGGCGGACAGCCUACAUUCUCCUGCAAAAAGUCUUGAUAAACUUGGGAAUCCAUUUUUCCGUCGAUGAGAUCAAGCUGUCCAGGCCCUGAGGCAGCAAAGCAGACCCAAACCAAGAUGCUCCCAUACUUUUGGGAUGAGGUUUUGAUGUGGGUGUGCUGUGCCAUUUUUUUUCUCCACACAUAGUGUUGUGUUCCUUCCUUUUGCGAACUUCAGACGUGCAGCAAUGUUUAUAAUGGGCAGCAGUGGUUUCUUCCGUGUUGUCCUCCCAUGAACACCAUUCUUGUUUAGAGUUUUACGUAUUGUAGACUCGUCAACAGAGAUGUUAGCACGUUCCAGAGAUUUUUGUAAGUCUUUAGCUGACACUAGGAUUCUUCUUAACCUCAUUGAGCAUUCUGCGCUGUGCUCUUGCAGUCAUCUUUGCAGGACGGUCACUCCUAGGGAGAGUAGCAACAGCACUGAACUUUCUCCAUUUAUAGACAAUUUGUCUUACUGUGGACUGAUGAACAUCAAGGCUUUUAGAUGUACUUUUGUAACCCUUUCCAGCUUUAUGCAAGUCAACAUUUCUUAAUCUUAGGUCUUCUGAGAUCUCUUUUGUUCGAGGCAUGAUUCACAUCAGGCAAUGCUUCUUGUGAAUAGCAAACUCACAUUUUGUGAGUGUUUUGCGUAGGGCAGGGUAACACUAACCAACAUCUCCAAUCUCAUUGUGUGUGUGUAUAAACUCAGAAAAAAAGAAAAGUCCCUUUUUCAGGACCCUGUCUUUCAAAGAUAGUUCAAAUAACUUUCCAGAUCUUCAUUGAAAAGGGUUUAAACACUGUUUCCCAUGCUUGCUCAAUGAACCAUAAACAUUUAAUGAACAUGCACCUGUGGAAUGUUAGUUAAGACACUAGCAGCUUACAGACUGUAGGCAAUUAAGGUCACAGUGAUGAAAACUUAGGACACAAAAGAGGCCUUUCUACUGACUGAAAAACACCAAAAGAAAGAUGCUCAGGGACCCUGCUCAUCUGCGUGAACGUGCCUUAGGCUUGCUGCAAGGAGGCGUGAGGACUGCAGAUGUGGCCAGGGCAAUAAAUUGUAACGUCCGUACUGUGAGACGCCUAAGAGCGCUACAGGGAGACAGGACAGACAGCUGAUCGUUCUCCCAGUGGCAGAUCACGUGUAACAACACCUGCACAGGAUCGGUACAUCUGAACAGCACACCAGCGGGACAGGUACAGGAUGGGAACAACAACUGCCCGGGAUAUCAAAUCAAAUCAAUCAAAUACACCAGGAACACACAAUCCCUCCAUCAGUGCUCAGACUGUCCGCAAUAGGCUGAGAGAGGCUGGACUGAAGGCUUGUAGGCCUGUUGUAAGGCAGGUCCUCACCAGACAUCACUGGCAACAAUGUCGCCUAUGGGCACAAACCCACCGUCGCUGGACCAGACAGGACCGGCAAAAAGUGCUCUUCACUGACAAGUUGCGGUUUUGUCUCACCAGGGGCGAUGGUCGGAUUUGCGUUUAUCGUCGAAGGAAUGAGCGUUACACCGAGGCCUGUACUCUGGAGCGGGAUCGAUUUGGAGGUGGAGGGUCCGUCAUGGUCUGGGGCAGUGUGUAACAGCAUCAUCGGACUGAGCUUGUUGUCAUUGCAGGCAAUCUCAAUGCUGUGCGUUACAGGGAAGAUAUCCUCCUCCCUCAUGUGGUACACUUCCUGCAGGCUCAUCCUGACAUGACCCUCCAGCAUGACAAUGCCACCAGCCGUACUGCUCGUUCUGUGCAUGAUUUCCUGCAAGACAGGAAUGCCAGUGUUCUGCCAUGGCCAGCGAAGAGCCCGGAUCUCAAUCCCAUGGAGCACGUCUGGGACCUGUUGGAUCGGAGGGUGAGGGUUAGGGCCAUUUCCCCCAGAAAUGUGAGGGAACUUGCAGGUGCCUUGGUGGAAGAGUGGGGUAACAUCCCACAGCAAUAACUGGCAAAUCUGGUGCUGUCCAUGAGGAGGAGAUGCACUGCAGUACUUAAUGCAGCUGGUGGCCACACCAGAUACUGACUGUUACUUUUGAUGUUGAUCCCCCCUUUGUUCAGGAACACAUUAUUCAAUUUCUGUUAGUCACAUGUCAGUGGAACUUGUUCAGUUUACUUCUCAGUUGUUGAAUCU